UGGGGAAUUUUGGACAAUGGGCGAAAGCCUGAUCCAGCAAUGCCGCGUGUGUGAAGAAGGCCUUCGGGUUGUAAAGCACUUUUGUCCGGAAAGAAAUCCUUGGCUCUAAUACAGUCGGGGGAUGACGGUACCGGAAGAAUAAGCACCGGCUAACUACGUGCCAGCAGCCGCGGUAAUACGUAGGGUGCAAGCGUUAAUCGGAAUUACUGGGCGUAAAGCGUGCGCAGGCGGUUUGCUAAGACCGAUGUGAAAUCCCCGGGCUCAACCUGGGAACUGCAUUGGUGACUGGCAGGCUAGAGUAUGGCAGAGGGGGGUAGAAUUCCACGUGUAGCAGUGAAAUGCGUAGAGAUGUGGAGGAAUACCGAUGGCGAAGGCAGCCCCCUGGGCCAAUACUGACGCUCAUGCACGAAAGCGUGGGGAGCAAACAGGAUUAGAUACCCUGGUAGUCCACGCCCUAAACGAUGUCAACUAGUUGUUGGGGAUUCAUUUCCUAGUAACGUAGCUAACGCGUGAAGUUGACCGCCUGGGGAGUACGGUCGCAAGAUUAAAACUUAAAUGAAUUGAC
rnacentral:rRNA from 1 species